AGCGAACGCUGGCGGCAGGCCUAACACAUGCAAGUCGAACGCACCUUCGGGUGAGCGGCGGACGGGUGAGUAACACGUGGGAACGUACCUUUUGGUUCGGAAUAACGCAGGGAAACUUGUGCUAAUACCGAAUGUGCCCUUCGGGGGAAAGAUUUAUCGCCAUUAGAGCGGCCCGCGUUAGAUUAGCUAGUUGGUGAGGU
rnacentral:rRNA from 1 species